GUUAUACGAACGACGGUUCGAGUUCGGCACUAGAUUUGUCUUUCUUUCCUUUGUUAAAUUAUAAUAAUACCACGUAUAACAGGCGUAAUGCGAUUUUUUUUUUAUACUAAAACUCGCACACGUAUUGUCGAAGUUUUAUGACGGGCGCGACUUUGAUGGUGGGUCUCAAGCAGACUUAUGAAUAAAUAACGCGUAUUGUACGGUCGUAUUUGACGCGUUCGAAUACAUUUUUCACGCGCUUCGGGGUCUUAGAUUUUUCAGGGCCCGUGAAGAGCCCG